rnacentral:sRNA from 1 species
AAUGCCAACGCCGGAUUCGCUUUUCCCUUUCAAUUCAUCGAUAUUCCCGAUUUCAAUGGACACGGUGAGACUCAGCCGAGCCCACACUUUUAUCAGGUAAUAAAUUUGUUAUUUUAACCGGAAAAUUGAAUUUUUCCGGCAAAUUUUGACCUAAAAAUGAAGAAAUUCGGAAAUGUCUCAGAAAAUCGAAAAAAAAUCCAAAAAUUUCCCAGAAAAUUCAAGAAUUUUGGCAUUUUUACCGCAAAAUUCACAAAGUUUUUGUGAAAAAUGGGCAUUUUUGAGAAAUUUUGUUCGAAAAAUCUGAAAAAAAAAACCAAUUUGACAAAAAAUUCGUUAAAAUUCGUUAAAAAAUCAGAAUUUUCAGUUAAAAUUCACGUAUUUCGUAAAAUUAUGACAAUUCUGAUUCAAAUAUCGAAAUAUUAUCUGAAAAUUCAUAAAAUUUGGAUUUUUUCUGUAAAAACUGUAAAAAAUCCGAUUUUUGGUCAAUUUUCCUCCAAAUUUCGGGAGAAAAAAACGGGUAUUCUUCGAAUUUUUACCGAAAAACUGAAAAUUCAGUGAAAAAAAUUUCGUAAAAGACGUAAAAUUUUGAUUUGAAACGGUGAAACUGUGUAUAAAAAUUCAUAUUUUAAUCAAAAACCGUUCAAAACCAAAUUUUUGCCAAAAAAAUUAAAAUUUUCAUUUUUUUCAAAAACCGUAAAAACUAUUCAAAAAAUGAAUUUUUAACUCGAAAAAUCCGAUUUUUUCAGAAUCUCGGAGAAGCCGAAUACGCGUGCGCCCUCUACACUUAUAUGCGAAUUUUGGGAUAUCCGGCCGAAAAAAUCUCGAUUUUGACGACUUAUAACGGUCAGGCUCAACUGAUUCGUGACGUUUUUCAACGAAGAUGUGAUACGAAUCCACUUAUUGGAAUGCCGGCGAAGG